CACGGAAGACUCAAGCGUUACCCGGAAUUACUGGGCGUAAAGCGUUGCGUAGGCGGUUGUGCAAGUGAAACGUGAAAUCUUACGGCUCAACCGUAAGCUUGUGUUUCAAACUGCACAACUAGAGGACAGGAGAGGUAAGUGGAAUUUCUGGUGUAGGAGUGAAAUCCGUAGAUAUCAGAAGGAACACCGAUGGCGAAGGCAGCUUACUGGACUGUUCCUGACGCUGAGGCACGAAAGCGUGGGUAGCGAACCGG
rnacentral:misc_RNA from 1 species